rnacentral:rRNA from 1 species
UGCAAGUCGAACGAAGCCUUCGGGCUUAGUGGCGGACGGGUGAGUAACGCGUGGGAACAUACCCAAAGGUACGGAAUAGCCUCGGGAAACUGGGAGUAAUACCGUAUGUGCCCUUCGGGGGAAAGAUUUAUCGCCUUUGGAUUGGCCCGCGUUGGAUUAGGUAGUUGGUGGGGUAAUGGCCUACCAAGCCGACGAUCCAUAGCUGGUUUGAGAGGAUGAUCAGCCACACUGGGACUGAGACACGGCCCAG